rnacentral:rRNA from 1 species
UCCAGACUCCUACGGGAGGCAGCAGUGGGGAAUAUUGCACAAUGGGGGAAACCCUGAUGCAGCGACGCCGCGUGAGUGAAGAAGUAAUUCGUUAUGUAAAGCUCUAUCAGCAGGGAAGAAAAUGACGGUACCUGAGUAAGAAGCCCCGGCUAACUACGUGCCAGCAGCCGCGGUAAUACGUAGGGGGCAAGCGUUAUCCGGAUUUACUGGGUGUAAAGGGAGCGUAGACGGUUACGCAAGUCUGGAGUGAAAGGCGGGGGCCCAACCCCCGGACUGCUUUGGAAACUGUAUAACUGGAGUGCAGGAGAGGUAGGUGGAAUUCCUAGUGUAGCGGUGAAAUGCGUAGAUAUUAGGAGGAACACCAGUGGCGAAGGCGGCUUACUGGACGAUGACUGACGCUGAGGCUCGAAAGCGUGGGGAGCAAACAGGAUUAGAUACCCCAGUAU